ensembl:misc_RNA 7SK 7SK RNA
GAAUGUGAGGGUGACCUGGCUGCAACAUCUGUCACCCCAUCCAUUGCCAGGGUUGAUUUGGCUAAUCUGUCUGGCUAGGCAGGUGUCCCCUUCCUCCCUUACCGCUUGAUGUGUGUCCCUCCAGAAGCUGUGUGCUCAGUUGAAGAGGAUGACCUUCCCUGAUAGAGGACUGUUCUUUGGUCAACGGUAUACAAGUAGCUGCUCUCCCCUGCUACAACCUUCAAACAAGCUCUCACGGUCCUUUUGCAGGAGAACUUGGGUAGUCAAGCUUCCAAGACUUGAGACACAUACAAAUGAGGUGCUGCAUGUGGUAGUCUGUCUUCCUUU